GAUGACAAGGUUCAGUUUAUUUAAAAAACAAAAUAAAUCUAACAUAUAUUUUUUCUUAUACAUUCAUUGCAUUUUAUACAUUUUUCCAUGUCAAACAAUUAACUUCCAAUAUAACGUAUUGUCCUCCCCGAAAUAUGAAAAAGAUUCAAAGUUUACAAGUGAAGGAGGGGGCCCCUAUAAGAACCAAUUAAGCCUCAUUAAAAAUUUCAUCACAUGCCAAAUUAAGUAUAUGAAUAAGACUUGAAAACCGUACCUCAAUCCCCAUUUAGCAGUUGAAUUAAUCGGAAAGCUUAUUAGUCCAAUCUUUUUUGCUGCCGUCUCGAUCGUUUUCUCUAGGUGCCACUCUGUUUUCUCUCUUUCUUUUUUUUUUGCCUUGACGUUGCCCUCUUGAAAUUCAACUGUUGAUCAUCGUACAAGAAAAAAUUAGCCAAUCUGAUCUAAUAAUUUCUUGGGUCCAAUUUUCCUGCAUCCCAUGUGAUGAAAAGACCUUACA